UACGUAGGCAGCGAGCGUUGUUCGGAGUUACUGGGCGUAAAGGGUGUGUAGGCGGUUGUUAAGUCUGCUGUGAAAGCCCCGGGCUCAACCUGGGAAUGGCAGUGGAUACUGGCAAGCUAGAGUGCGGUAGAGGGGUGUGGAAUUCCCGGUGUAGCGGUGAAAUGCGUAGAGAUCGGGAGGAACACCAGUGGCGAAGGCGGCACCCUGGACCAGCACUGACACUGAGGCACGAAAGCGUGGGGAGCAAACAGG
rnacentral:rRNA from 1 species